rnacentral:sRNA from 1 species
CAACACCACGUAAACUGAGAUAGCGCACAUUGAAACAUCAAGUGAUCUGUAUCCUCGAUUUCUCCACAGAGUUUACAGUUGGGACUCCCCUUCCAUUUCAUCUUCUUUAACUGAUGACCUGUUUGAAUUUUUCCUUUUAGCAUAAGCCAGAAAAACACUUUAACUUUGAGGGGAAUAUGACACCUCCACAGCUCUUGUAAGAUGUAGUCUUUAAUCCCCCCAAAACUUAUUUCUCGAUACAGGGAUUUUGUAGAAAACAUCCCAGUUUUGUUUAAAUUCCAACACAUGGAAUCUUUUCCUGAAUUCAAUUCGAUGUUCUGCAAUAAAGCAUGUAAUUGACCCCACUCUUCUAACUCCCCUUCACCUAAAGUUCUUCUCAAAGAGAUUUUCCACUCCCCUUCAACAUACAUCUGGUGAGUAGUUUUGUUAUCAUCAGCACAUACACUGAAUAUAUAUGGAAAUUGAGUCUUAAGUGGUGUUUCCCCUAACCAAAUAUCAUCCCAGAAGGAUAUAUUUUUCCCAUCUCCAAGCUUGUAUGAGCUACCAAGUUUCAUCCAGCCUUUUACCUCAUGUAACCCUCUCCAGAACUGUGAUCCCCCCUCAACUUUGGAUUGGAAAAAACCCCCUCCUUCUACCAUAUAUUUCCUUCUCAGUAGAUCACAACAAGGAUUCUCUACCCCAGUUUCAAGUUUGAAAAUCCACUUGCAAAGUAGAGCCGCAUUCAUUAUCCUUGUGUUAACAAAACCCAAACCCCCAAAAUCCUUUGGUCUGCACAGGGCUUCCCAUUUGAUCAUGUGAUAUUUUUUCUUUCCCUCUAAACCUUCCCAAAAAAAUCUUGCUCUGAAAGAAUCCAUUUUCUGAUGAACCCCCUCAGGCAGUAAAUAAAUGCCCAUCAUAUACAUAGGUAUACUACUCAAGCAGGAAUUAAUCAAGAUUGACCUCCCCCCAUAGGACAAAUGGCUACAUUUCCAGGUAGCAAGUCUCUUCUCAAUUUUGGCAGCAGGAAUAUUUAGGUUUGUAGCUGACAGUUUAUCCACACUCACUGGAAUGCCAAGGUAAGAGAAAGGUAGUUUCCCUGACUUGCAGUUAAACAGAUUGGCCACUCUCAAUGUAUCAGAUUCAUCACCCCCAAUCACUAUCACCUCACUUUUUUGAUAAUUGAUUUUCAAGCCCGACAUCUCUUCAUAGCAAUAUA